rnacentral:rRNA from 1 species
GACGUAGGGCGCGAGCGUUGUCCGGAUUUAUUGGGCGUAAAGAGCUCGUAGGCGGCUUGUCGCGUCGAAUGUGAAAUCUCAGGGCUCAACUCUGACAUUGCAUUCGAUACGGGCAGGCUAGAGUUCGGUAGGGGAGACUGGAAUUCCUGGUGUAGCGGUGAAAUGCGCAGAUAUCAGGAAGAACACCGGUGGCGAAGGCGGCCAUCUGGCUCGGUACUGACGCUCAGGCGCGAAAGCGUGGGGAGCAAACAGG